UAGGAAAAGCGUGAGGUCCUAAGGGC
rnacentral:piRNA from 1 species